rnacentral:rRNA from 1 species
UACGAAGGGGGCUAGCGUUGUUCGGAAUCACUGGGCGUAAAGCGCACGCAGGCGGAUCGUUAAGUCAGGGGUGAAAUGCCGAGGCUCAACCUCGGAACUGCCUUUGAUACUGGCGAUCUUAGAGUCCGGGAGAGGUGAGUGGAACUCCGAGUGUAGAGGUGAAAUUCGUAGAUAUUCGGAAGAACACCAGUGGCGAAGGCGGCUCACUGGCCCGGAACUGACGCUGAGGCACGAAAGCGUGGGGAGCAAACAGG